GAUGAACGCUGGCGGCGUGCCUAAUACAUGCAAGUCGAGCGAACGGACGAGAAGCUUGCUUUUCUGAUGUUAGCGGCGGACGGGUGAGUAACACGUGGAUAACCUACCUAUAAGACUGGGAUAACUUCGGGAAACCGGAGCUAAUACCGGAUAAUAUUUUGAACCGCAUGGUUCAAAAGUGAAAGACGGUCUUGCUGUCACUUAUAGAUGGAUCCGCGCUGCAUUAGCUAGUUGGUAAGGUAACGGCUUACCAAGGCAACGAUGCAUAGCCGACCUGAGAGGGUGAUCGGCCACACUGGAACUGAGACACGGUCCAGACUCCUACGGGAGGCAGCAGUAGGGAAUCUUCCGCAAUGGGCGAAAGCCUGACGGAGCAACGCCGCGUGAAUGAUGAAGGUCUUCGGAUCGUAAAACGCUGUUAUUAGGGAAGAACAUAUGUGUAAGUAACUGUGCACAUCUUGACGGUACCUAAUCAGAAAGCCACGGCUAACUACGUG
rnacentral:rRNA from 1 species